CAAAAAAGCUAUGGUCCUGUGAUGGGUGAUGUUAAAAAGGCACAUAUAAACCUCAGUAAUGGACAAGUGCUGAAAAGCCAAAGGGGUUAAUCCAAAUCCUGGGGGACAAUUGAACCACCACAGAGGAGAACCACCUCUGCAAAACCCCAUGUGGCAUCUAGUUGUUCCACUCAGACAGCUCCAGCCCUACUAC